GGUGCUGUGGCCAAGUGGAUAAGGCAGAAGUUUGCAAAACUUUGAUCGUUGGUUCGAUUCCGACCAGCACCU